UAUAAGUAUAAACGAUUUUAUCGUGAAACCGCGAACGGCUCAUUAUAACAGCUAUAAUUUACUUGAUCUUGAUUCAAUCCUACUUGGAUAACUGUGGUAAUUCUAGAGCUAAUACAUGCACCAAAGCUCUGACCUCGCGGAAGAGUGCAUUUAUUAGAACAAAACCAAGCGGCACUUGUGUCGUUUUUUGUUGACUCAGAAUAACUAAGCUGAUCGCAUGGUCUUGUACCGGCGACGUGUCUUUCAAGUAUCUGCCUUAUCAACUUUCGAUGGUAGUGUAUCUGACUACCAUGGUGGUGACGGGUAACGGAGGAUAAGGGUUUGACUCCGGAGAAGGGGCCUGAGAAAUGGCCACUACGUCUAAGGAUGGCAGCAGGCGCGCAAAUUACCCACUCUCAGAACGAGGAGGUAGUGACGAAAAAUAACGAGACCGUUCUCUACGAGGCCGGUCAUCGGAAUGGGUACAAUCUAAACCCUUUAACGAGUAUCUAUGAGAGGGCAAGUCUGGUGCCAG
rnacentral:rRNA from 1 species